AUCAUGGUCUCCCAGGCCCUCAGGCUCCUCUGCCUUCUGCUUGGGCUUCAGGGCUGCCUGGCUGCAGGAGGAAGCCCACGGCGUCCUGCACCGGCGCCGGCGCGCCAACGCGUUCCUGGAGGAGCUGCGGCCGGGCUCCCUGGAGAGGGAGUGCAAGGAGGAGCAGUGCUCCUUCGAGGAGGCCCGGGAGAUCUUCAAGGACGCGGAGAGGACGUGGUGAGUGGAUGAUCACCACCAGUCCUGCCUGCAACCCUUCUCAGCUUACUGACACCAGCCCACUCCACAGAUGGGGACCAGUGUGCCUCAAGUCCAUGCCAGAAUGGGGGCUCCUGCAAGGACCAGCUCCAGUCCUAUAUCUGCUUCUGCCUCCCUGCCUUCGAGGGCCGGAACUGUGAGACGCACAAGGAUGACCAGCUGAUCUGUGUGAACGAGAACGGCGGCUGUGAGCAGUACUGCAGUGACCACACGGGCACCAAGCGCUCCUGUCGGUGCCACGAGGGGUACUCUCUGCUGGCAGACGGGGUGUCCUGCACACCCACAGUUGAAUAUCCAUGUGGAAAAAUA
rnacentral:lncRNA from 1 species